UUCCUCUGUGAUCUUUCGUUAUGCUCAGCUUUCUGGGUUUCCAGCAGGGCCCGAACCAAGGCUAUGGAGCAAGCACUCUGCUUCCUAGCCCUGGGCCUUUGUGGAUCCUGAGGGGCCAGGUGGAGAAACUGUCUGGAGCCUGUGACAAGACUGAUGACCAGAACUCGCAGCACUGAGUUGAAUAAAUGGUAGACCUGGUAUGGCUUAGAUGUGGAGUGUCCCCCAAAA
rnacentral:lncRNA from 1 species